UUAAAUUGAAGAGUUUGAUCAUGGCUCAGAUUGAACGCUGGCGGCAGGCCUAACACAUGCAAGUCGAACGGUAACAGGAAGCAGCUUGCUGCUUCGCUGACGAGUGGCGGACGGGUGAGUAAUGUCUGGGAAACUGCCUGAUGGAGGGGGAUAACUACUGGAAACGGUAGCUAAUACCGCAUAACGUCGCAAGACCAAAGAGGGGGACCUUCGGGCCUCUUGCCAUC
rnacentral:rRNA from 1 species